rnacentral:rRNA from 1 species
CCUACGGGUGGCAGCAGUGAGGAAUAUUGGUCAAUGGGCGCGAGCCUGAACCAGCCAAGUCGCGUGAGGGAGGACGGCCCUACGGGUUGUAAACCUCUUUUGCCGGGGAGCAACGGGCGUCACGUGUGGCGCCACUGAGAGUACCCGGAGAAAAAGCAUCGGCUAAGUCCGUGCCAGCGGCCCGGGUAAUACGGAGGAUGCGAGCGUUAUCCGGAUUUAUUGGGUUUAAGGGGUGCGUAGGCGGAUCGUUAAGCCAGUGGUAAAAUUGGGGGGCUCAACCCCUUCCCGCCAUUGAAACUGGCGCUCUUGAGUGGAAGAGAAGUAUGCGGAAUGCGUGGUGUAGCGGUGAAAUGCAUAGAUAUCACGCAGAACCCCGAUUGCGAAGGCAGCAUGCCGGCUUCCGACUGACGCUGAAGCACGAAAGCGUGGGGAUCGAACAGGAUUAGAUACCCCAGUAGUC